GAGGACCCCGGCCACCUGGCUCUGAGAACUGAAUUCCAUAGGCCGUGAGCUCCAGCAGAUGCCCUAGGGACUCAGUUCUGGUGCCCGGCUGCGCAGUAGCAUC
ensembl:miRNA microRNA 146b